GCUGGGUGUGGUGGCACAUGCCUGUGAUCCCAGUGACUUGGGAGGCUGAAGUAGGACAAUCACAAGUGUGAGGCCAGCCUCAGCAACUUAGUUAGCAAGGCCUUAAGCAACUUACUGAGGCCCUGUCUCAA
rnacentral:sRNA from 1 species